rnacentral:rRNA from 1 species
UUGCACGCUGGCGGCCUGCCUUACACAUGCAAGUCGAACGGCAGCACGGGUGCUUGCACCUGGUGGCGAGUGGCGAACGGGUGAGUAAUACAUCGGAACAUGUCCUGUAGUGGGGGAUAGCCCGGCGAAAGCCGGAUUAAUACCGCAUACGAUCCACGGAUGAAAGCGGGGGACCUUCGGGCCUCGCGCUAUAGGGUUGGCCGAUGGCUGAUUAGCUAGUUGGUGGGGUAAAGGCCUACCAAGGCGACGAUCAGUAGCUGGUCUGAGAGGACGACCAGCCACACUGGGACUGAGACACGGCCCAGACUCCUACGGGAGGCAGCAGUGGGGAAUUUUGGACAAUGGGCGAAAGCCUGAUCCAGCAAUGCCGCGUGUGUGAAGAAGGCCUUCGGGUUGUAAAGCACUUUUGUCCGGAAAGAAAUCCUUGGCUCUAAUACAGUCGGGGGAUGACGGUACCGGAAGAAUAAGCACCGGCUAACUACGUG